rnacentral:rRNA from 1 species
UACGGAGGGGGCUAGCGUUGUUCGGAAUUACUGGGCGUAAAGCGCACGUAGGCGGACUGUUAAGUCGGGGGUGAAAUCCUGGGGCUCAACCUGAGAAUUGCCUCCGAUACUGGCAGUCUCGAGUGCGGGAGAGGUGAGUGGAAUUCCCAGUGUAGAGGUGAAAUUCGUAGAUAUUGGGAAGAACACCAGUGGCGAAGGCGGCUCACUGGCCCGUAACUGACGCUGAUGUACGAAAGCGUGGGGAGCAAACAGG